AUUGAACGCUGGCGGCAGGCCUAACACAUGCAAGUCGAGCGGAUGACGGGAGCUUGCUCCUUGAUUCAGCGGCGGACGGGUGAGUAAUGCCUAGGAAUCUGCCUGGUAGUGGGGGACAACGUUUCGAGAGGAACGCUAAUACCGCAUACGUCCUACGGGAGAAAGCAGGGGACCUUCGGGCCUUGCGCUAUCAGAUGAGCCGAGGUCGGAUUAGAUAGUAGGUGAGGUAAUGGCUCACCUAGGCGACGAUCCGUAACUGGUCUGAGAGGAUGAUCAGUCACACUGGAACUGAGACACGGUCCAGACUCCUACGGAGGCAGCAGUGGGGAAUAUUGGACAAUGGGCGAAAGCCUGAUCCAGCCAUGCCGCGUGUGUGAAGAAGGUCUUCGGAUUGUAAAGCACUUUAAGUUGGGAGGAAGGGCAGUAAGUUAAUACCUUGCUGUUUUGACGUUACCGACAGAAUAAGCACCGGCUAACUCUGUGCCAGCCGCCGCAGUAACAC
rnacentral:rRNA from 1 species